rnacentral:lncRNA from 1 species
UUGUUCUUCCAUCUGCUUUUCCAAGGAACGUUUUGUAUUGGCCGGGAGUCAUUAGGAGAAUGCUUGAAAGCCUAUGCCAUUUACAGAAAAGACUGUUUCCCAGUACAACACCACAACUCCACCUUCAGAUGCAUAUACAUCUUACAAUUUAUACGGUGUACACCUGUGAAAAAAGAUUUCUGUCCAUGAUGUGAACUGCGGGGGAAGCAUUGAGAUGAAAUAUCAUUGAGGUAUCGACUGACAUUGUGACGUAUUGCCACUUAAAAUUGCACAGAGGCUAUUGAGAACCACGCGGCCUCCAGGCUGAGUUGGCCAUGCAGAGUCUGAAAAUGUGUCACCCACAGUUCUUCCUGGGGCAGAUGCCUGGUGGGAUAUAUCUGUGUCUGCGCAGUGACAGCAUGAGUCGUGCUGGCCAUGUUACCUCUGCUGUGGAGGUCCCGUAUACAAACACAGAUCUCUUGAGCUCAUCAACUUCUUCCUCAUUGCUCUGAAUAGGUCUCUCUUUCUCUCUCUUGCUGUGAAUUGAGGGAGUUUUUUUCCUGGAAUCUAAGGUGAUAUCAAGGCCGCAUUCAAGCAGUAAUUAAUAUUAGUAUUAAUUUAGUGUUCUUAUGUUAGGGUGCACAUGUCUGUUAACAACUCGGUAGCUCUUCUCUGAAGAUGUCACAUCAGAGACAUCUCGGUGACAAUGUGUUUGAUACUCACCUUGCUGACUGUUGAGUAGCUCCUUAGCUUUGUUAGUGGGCGGACUUGAAGUAGCGCGGCUGUGAGCUGCAGGGCUCAGCACUCCAGCCGUACCUGUCUCUCUAACAUAUUCUUAGUUUCUUCUGUUGUCAUUGAUUUCAUAGCUACACAGCAAUAGCUGGUGAUGAUACAGAGGAAACGUCUCCUGUUUGAUAGUCUUUUGCCAGUAGAUAUGUUUCAGGUCAGUUUUCAGAAUCAUUAAAUUUCUGGCCUGAUACCAAAACAAAAGUUUUUGUGAUGCUUUUGACUAUAUGCAGUAGGUCCAAUUUUCU